rnacentral:rRNA from 1 species
UACGUAGGGUGCGAGCGUUGUCCGGAAUUAUUGGGCGUAAAGAGCUUGUAGGCGGUUUGUCGCGUCUGCUGUGAAAAUCCGGGGCUCAACCCCGGACUUGCAGUGGGUACGGGCAGACUAGAGUGUGGUAGGGGGAGACUGGAAUUCCUGGUGUAGCGGUGGAAUGCGCAGAUAUCAGGAGGAACACCGAAGGCGAAGGCAGUGUCCUGGGGAGUACCUGACGCUCAGGUGCGAAAGCCAGGGGAGCGAACGGG